rnacentral:rRNA from 1 species
UGGGGAAUAUUGCACAAUGGGCGCAAGCCUGAUGCAGCCAUGCCGCGUGUGUGAAGAAGGCCUUCGGGUUGUAAAGCACUUUCAGCGGGGAGGAAGGCGUUAAGGUUAAUAACCUUGGCGAUUGACGUUACCCGCAGAAGAAGCACCGGCUAACUCCGUGCCAGCAGCCGCGGUAAUCCGGAGGGUGCAAGCGUUAAUCGGAAUUACUGGGCGUAAAGCGCACGCAGGCGGUCUGUCAAGUCGGAUGUGAAAUCCCCGGGCUCAACCUGGGAACUGCAUUCGAAACUGGCAGGCUAGAGUCUUGUAGAGGGGGGUAGAAUUCCAUGUGUAGCGAUGAAAUGCGUAGAGAUGUGGAGGAAUACCGGUGGCGAAGGCGGCCCCCUGGACAAAGACUGACGCUCAGGUGCGAAAGCGUGGGGAGCAAACAGG